AAAGUAUUCAAAAUUAAAAGCGUUUAUAAAGAAACAAGGAGAAGGAUACGUUCCAAAGAAAUCAAGGGUUUUAACUAAUGAACAAAUAGAAGUUUUCUUAGACACGGCUCCGGAUUUCAAAUUCCUGAUGAUGAAAAUUGUUGUAAUCUUUGGCGUUAGCGGAGCUUGUCGGUCUCACGAACUAUUACAAAUAAAAACUGAAGAUAUUGAAAAUAUUAAAGCAGGUUUAUUGGUAAAAAUUCCUGAUACCAAAACGAAAAAACCCAGAUCAUUUACGGUUAUGGGGGAAAAGUAUUUGAAAUUUUUUUCGUUUGGAAGAACCAGGUACAAGUAGUGAAACCACAAGUAAAAUACAUGAAGACGCAACGAAUAGGAAUGUGAGCGAAGUAAACCUAGAAGAAUCAGGUACAAGUAGUGGAACUACGAAUAGAAUGAUCACACGUGAAGACGGAAUAAGUAGGAAUGUGGGAGCAGUAAACCUGAAUUUUGACACUGUGACCAACCAGACAGCAGGAGCGGUAGAAGUGUUAGCGCAAAAUAUUAUUACUGACCGCAUGAAAAAUGAUAAUAGUGACGGAAAAUCUUUAAUCCAAAUCAAUCGCAGUUGUUCUUAUUGUACAUUCAAUAUUAAUUUUAAAAUUUAAAUAAUUAAUAACAAUGUAAGUUAAUAAUAAAAUUGGAAAAUAUUAA